rnacentral:rRNA from 1 species
UACGUAGGGACCGAGCGUUGUCCGGAAUCAUUGGGCGUAGAGAGCGUGUAGGCGGCUUGCUAAGUCUUGCGUGAAAUCUCGGGGCUCAACCCCGAGCGGUCGUGGGAAACUGGCAGGCUAGAGUGCGGGAGAGGAGAAUGGAAUUCCUGGUGUAGCGGUGAAAUGCGCAGAUAUCAGGAAGAACACCCGUGGCGAAGGCGGUUCUCUGGGCCGAUACUGACGCUGAGGAGCGAAAGCGUGGGGAGCGAACAGG